CUGCCGUUGGCGGUGACAUCCAACUGUACGGAUGGAUGGCUGCGAGUGCACUGUACGCUGCGCUUCUGUGCGCCACACCGAUGUGCGCUGCUGUGCUGAAAUUUUGUCAAAAUAUUCGUAAUGCAAUCCUCACUAGGAUAAUUAACGAGUCCAGUCAUCAAAUGGAUUAUAAACACAUUCCAAGCUUAGAAAUAGAAGAAAAGGUACCAUAAAUGUACAAAACCCAAAUAUAUUGUAUGUAGUAUGCACGUAAGUUCACCAAGAAGCACUUGGGAUUUCAUUAAAGAGAUUAGGUGAGUUUCAGAGACUGAAAAUUAUACAAUUAUACAUAUAUUUUUAUUUAUACAAUUAUACAUAUAUUUAAUUUAUACGACUCAGCCGUUGGUACCUCAUCUCCCAUGAUGUGUCCAAAAAAAAAAACUCCUGCCAUGGACAUCAUAACUCAUUGUUGGUUGAUUUAAAAUUAAUAAACCUAAAAUAUGUUUGGAUAAAUCUAGUUAAUGUUAAAAUAUUAAAAAUUUUAGUUUUGAUAUUCAGAUGUGUGCAAAAUCUAAACAAAAACGCUUCAUAACUUUUUGAGAUAACGUGUCCACCGACUUAAAGAAUUGAGUUUUGAGAUGUGGUCUGACGGGCGGAACUUCCAAAGAGUACAUCUCUUCGAAUUUUACUUUGAUAUUUUUGUAUAAUAUUUUAAACAUUUUGGACCAUUUAAUAAGACAAAAGAAACUUUUCCAAAUUUUGAAACCCACCUAAGCUCUUAACUUACUUAACAAUACUUUAAGAGACUCAUUAUAUUAUUCCCAGAAUUAUAUUACCUGGAAUAAGUGUAUAAUAACUCAACUCAAACGGGUGAAUAUUAAAGACUCUUUAAGAGUUGUAUCAUCCCAAAACUGCAGACUUCUCUCUAAUAUCUAUAUCUUUCAGAGCAAUAUUAACUAUCAGCAAGUUUUCCUGUAGGGUUUCGACUUUAUGUCUACAAACAAAUGUAUAUGCGUAUUUAGUUUGCAUGAGAAACGCUCCAACUCAACACGACCACUACUCCUCCACUACACUUCCCUCGCACCUUUCCCACCUCACACUUCAUACUUUAUAUUCGCUCACACCUUUUUCUCAGGUACGUUUACUCCAGCGUGCGUCACAGUCACAGACCACAUCGCACCACUCGCCCGCUCCGCCACCUAUCCCAACUUGAUGUCGUGUCGCCAGUAUACUCGUACAUCGUUAUACAUAUAUGUAUGCAUGUAUUUACUUCGCUGCUAGAAAUGAGUAAGUGUUGUUUUCGUUGUUGCUGCUAUCGUCUGGUGCUUAAGUUGUUGUUAAUUUUGCCGUGAACUGCAGACCGUGUGCCGGUGUUGUGCAUCCAGCGACGUCGUCGCGUACAGUGUAAUGGCCUAAUUAAUUAUUGAUAAUACGUCUAUCAUUUAUAUGGUACAUACUCGUACAUAGACCAAAGUGUUUCAAUAACGUAAUCACUUUAAAAUGAUCGUGUUGUUGUCACCUACUAAUUGACCAUUUUAUAAUGUUAAAAUAGUUAAAAUAAUAGUCAUUUAACAUCAUAUAAUAUAUCGCAUAGUUGUAUAUCUAUUAGAGACGAGCUUUGAUAACUCCAGACUAUAUAACUCAUUUAAAGGUAAUAAAGUUGACUCAUUCUCUGGUAUGAAGAAAUUGCAAUUAUUUACUAAAGUCUCUCUUGAAGUCUGCGGUUAUGGUUUUAUAUUUUCAAGUAUUUUUUAUCGAAUUUUUACUAAAAUUCUUGUCAUCCGUUUGUAUAUAUUCUUUCAGUGGAUGCGAUUACAAAGUCAAUCAACUUAACUUCAUUUUGAGUGCUGAGUAUGUUGUACCUAAUCACAGCGGUGGAGUUUUGUUUAUACAGCAAGAAAUUAGCAGAGUACAACUUACUGCCUUCCCUAAAUAAAAGCGUUUUUUUCCGCUCAGCGUUAACGUCGAUGCGCCAUCCCUAAAUAAAAGCGGCAACUUUACGUCAAAUAUCAAAAUGUUUACUUGAAUUGUUGUUGUGAAAUUUUAUUGAACAGAGAAACUUCGUUUUUCGCAGCCAACUUUACUUCGGAACGCUCUGUCAAAAUAGAAAAUUUCAACCGCUCAGCGUCGCCGUCGCGUUAUUGCGGUAUGCGCCAUACAAAUUGUAUGGGCAUGAGAAUUUUUUGACAGUUAUUUGCCGCUGACGCUUUUAUUUAGGGAAGGCAGUUAGUGAAUCGUAAACAUCAAGCGCUUUUUCCACGAAUUAUAUUUCGUAAAGUUAGUCAGAUUAUUUUAUACUUUUAUACCGAUACACUUCUUACUUUAACGGUUACAAUAAGGUUACUUUGUAGUCGAUAAAAACUGUGGUUAUAUGAUAACAGUACUCUUUAGACACUAUGAGUCAGCUAUCGUUUUCCGCUAAGAGCAUUAGCAAAGCUAAUGAAGUUGAAAAUGUCGCUCACGUUGUCUCUUUGGGGUAUAUCGAAGCAAUUUAUUUGCACAAAAGAUUUAGAUAUAUGUAUUUUUCGAUAAUUAAGAACUUUUUUCCAAAAUUUUGCACACAUUCGUGCCCAUGUCGCUACACUGUACAUAUAAGUCAGCGUACAAUGGUUGUAUAAAAAUGGUUUCGACCGCUUUGUUUGUCGGCUCGAUCGAGACCGGUUGGAUUGGUAUUGGCUUUUUGAUAGGCAGAAGAGAAAGGAGAAGACGCAACGAUGGAGGGUGUGAGGGGUGGACAAGGUGCCCGGAGGAGCAAAGUCUAUGCACACAAAGUGUUCACAUUGCUUGGUACAUAAAGUAAUAAUAUUGCUCCCACUGCUGAACGCAGAUACUCGCAGAUACUCGAACCAGCUUGCGGCACCCACGAGCGCAUUACGAACUUACUGCUGUGUACACACGGAUCUAUAAUAUAUGAUCAUAAAAUAUAAACCAUUGCAAUA